AAAAACCUUUGACUCAGAUUUAGGUAUCCAUCAAACCACGACUAGGCCCCUCACCGUCUUCUUUUUUCCGUUUUUCUUCUUUUUUUUAAUCAGAUUUUUCUCUCCGAGUCACGGUGUGAAAUCGAUUUGGUUAGGGAUUCCGGAACGGAGGGCACCGUUCCCGUUCCGUUCCGGCGAACCCUGGGACCCACCGUUGGAAUAAUUGUGAGUUUAGAUGUACACCGGUGUUGGUGAUUUCCGGCAGAGGUCGCCGAUGGUGGCCGUAAUCUGAAGUUCAGCUUUUGGCUCUUCAAAGAAUUAAAUGAACGGAGGUCUUAGCGGUGGAUUAUUGAUGAUAGAAGAAAAAUUAAGCAACGGAAAGAUUCGAGUUGCAGAGUGAUAAGCGGUUGUAAAGUUAUAAUUACAAUGGCUUGACUCAAUUUCGAGACGGAAAUUCAGCCUGCUCGCCAGAACCCUAAGGGAAAUAAAAUCUGCUACCGCACCUGUUUUGGAGCCAAAAUUGAAGGGUUUGGAGUGUGAAUUUGGGAAUAAUUCCUUCUCAAAACUCGUAGAGGACCUCGAAAACUAAAUGUGUGUUAUUCGUUGUUGUUUACCUAAGAAAAUUUUGGUCUAUGGUGCUGCUGUUGGUGCUAACUCGAGGUGAGAAAACUUUGUUAGUUAUUUCUUCAAGUUAUUUACUUAAUUCGUGUGGCACGUCUUAUUUUGAUCAAGUAAUGCUAUUGGAGAAAAUUGAUUUCAAUGGGAAGAAACUUCUACACAAAAAGGUCGGUCCAAUGUAUUGAAUUUUGUUCUUUGGUACCAUAUAUUUAGGUUCAAGAGUGUUAUUUAUUUAUUUUUAUUUUUUUCUA